rnacentral:lncRNA from 10 species
CUAAAGCAUGAUAUAGUCAAAAGGAAACUGGACUCCUCACUGGAUGGGAACAUGAAGGACAUUGCAGGCUUCACAGUGAUGAGAGGAGUUAUUAACAUGUAGGAAAUUAUAGAGAAAAAGAAAAAAAUAAAGAGAUAUAAGACCUUGGCCGGGCGCAGUGACUCAUGCCUGUAAUCCCAGCACUUUGGGAGGCCGAGGCGGGUGGAUCACUUGAGGUCAGGAGUUCGAGACCAGUCUGGUCAACAUGGGGAAACCUCGUCUCUACUAUAAAUACAAAAAUUAGCUGGGUGAGGUGGCGCAUGCCUAUAAUCCCAGCUACUCAGGAGGCUGAGGCAGGAGAAUCACUUGAAUCCGGGAGAUGAAGAUUGCACUGAGCCGAGGUUGCGUCACUGCACUACUGCCUGGGCGACAGAGCGAGAGUCUGUCUCAAAAAAAAAAAAAAAAAAAAAAGAGAGAGAUAUAAGACCUCAUAUGAGGUAAGAGCCAUAAUUUGGAAACACAGAUAAGAAAAAAGAGAUGAACAGUGAAGAGAAGAGACAAUCCCAGGGUUUCAGCUGUGAUUCUACCAUGAGUCAGAAAGUGGUCUCUCUGUGGAGCCCGCCAGGAGCCUUCAGAACGCCCAUGCCUUCUCCAUGGCAGCCUCUCCACCAUCUUCCCGUCCAAGCGAAUAGUCCAUGCUUCCUGCUCAUUCCUUAGAGUAAGGUCCUGCCUCCAGAACACCUGGGUUAAAUAAAAAAUGUGUUGACCUGUGGCUAAUACAUUAGGUCAUGGAUAUAUACUCAUAGAGGCAAAACUGAGUUUAUUAUUUAUAAGCCACCAUAGUGGAGACCCAAGUCCUGUCUAAAAGGAACACAGAUUCGUUCUGCUUUACUUUUCACAUCCAUAAAAGAGGGAUAGAUAUUACAAUUAUGAAUGUUGACACAUUAUAGAAUAUUGGGAGAAGCAAUUUCAGAAGCUCACUCCCUAGAGAACCUCUUUUUCUCUAAAGUGGAGCCUGGCUUUGCAGGAAAUGCCCACUAGAGAAUUGGGGUAAAUAUUUGCCAAGAUUUUUUUUUAAGCUGAGGAUAACAGAAGAUAUUUGCUGAGAACUUUUGUCCGUCAUUAAAAUAGAUACC